GGGGACGCUGUCUUCGUACCUGGAACGCCGGAAGAACCCGCACUGCGCAAAGGAGGGAAACAACAGUUCAGGUGUAAGUCGCUGCCAAAGUACUACAACUACAGAGGCACUAAAUUCUUCCUUCAUGCAAAUAUACAGCAAAGUGUGUUCCUAGAGAAGUACACCUAAGAACUCAAGUAAAACAGAUGUUUCCACAGCAAUAAAUUCUCACCAUGAAAACCCUUCUCCGAUGUGAGCAACAUGUACAGCAUGCACUAAAGAUCUCUACAUGUGAAUAAGAUCAAGUCUUCACAGAUUGGUUAAACCUCACCCCAAGAUUAAAGAUUGGAUUAUAUGCAUCAUACCUACAUGCGAGAACCACUAACUGUUUGUACUGACAGCAAUGGGAAAACAUAAUGAAGAUGUUAUUACUUGCUUAUUUUAAGCCAGAGACAAAAGAGGGAGAGAGAUACAAUGAAAUAGGACCUGUGAAAUAGGACCUCUGUGUUCAGUACAGCUAAAGGAUACUGAAGUGCCAGGAUGAUUUGCUCUUCUUCCAAGAAGUUACUUGGCAAUAGAAUGUCACGCACACAGAAGCACAGCUGCCUCUCAGGCAGCUGAAUGAAAUUAGCAGCAAGCAGUCUGCAGUAGUUUGUGGAAGAAACUACUUCAUGCUCAGCUGAAACACCGAGGAUGAGAGAACAGUGUGUGGGUAAGUGCAACCCAGCAGGCGAGAUGGAUGCAUGGAUGGAUGCUGAACCAGACUCUUCUUCCUGACCCCAGGACAUAGAGCACUUGAAAGAAGAUAUCCCUGAUAUUACAGUGUCAAGGACAGAAAAGCUGGGACUGCAGAUGGAUCCACAAGGCUCAAAGAGGACCUCAAACCCUUUUUAAUACCCAGCUCUAGUUUUGCUUUGUUCUGGCAGUGGGUCAAAGCACACUGCUGUCCCUCA